rnacentral:rRNA from 1 species
CGCGUAGGCGGCCUGUUAAGUCUGGAGUGAAAGUCCUGCUUUCAAGGUGGGAAUUGCUUUGGAAACUGGCGGGCUGGAGUGCAGGAGAGGUUAGCGGAAUUCCCGGUGUAGCGGUGAAAUGCGUAGAGAUCGGGAGGAACACCAGUGGCGAAGGCGGCUAACUGGACUGUAACUGACGCUGAAGCGCGAAAGUGUGGGGAGCAAACAGGAUUAGAUACCCUGGUAGUCCACACUGUAAACGAUGAAUGCUAGGUGUAGGGGGUAUCGACCCCUUCUGUGCCGGAGUUAACACAAUAAGCAUUCCGCCUGGGAGUACGGCCGCAAGGUUGA